rnacentral:miRNA from 1 species
CCAGGUACUUAGUGACUCUCA